rnacentral:rRNA from 1 species
GAUGAACGCUGGCGGCGUGCCUAAUACAUGCAAGUCGAGCGAACAGACGAGGAGCUUGCUCCUCUGACGUUAGCGGCGGACGGGUGAGUAACACGUGGAUAACCUACCUAUAAGACUGGGAUAACUUCGGGAAACCGGAGCUAAUACCGGAUAAUAUAUUGAACCGCAUGGUUCAAUAGUGAAAGACGGUUUUGCUGUCACUUAUAGAUGGAUCCGCGCCGCAUUAGCUAGUUGGUAAGGUAACGGCUUACCAAGGCAACGAUGCGUAGCCGACCUGAGAGGGGGAUCGGCCACACGGGAAGUGAGACACGGUCCAGACCCCUAGGGGGGGCAGGAGUAGGGAAUCUUCCGCAAUGGGCGAAAGCUUGACGGAGCAACCCCGGGUGGGUGAUGAAGGUUUUGGGAGCGUAAAACCCUUUUAUUAGGGAAGAAAAAAUGUGAAAGUAACUAUCCACGUUUUGACGGUACCAAAUCAAAAAGCCACGGCUAACUACGU